rnacentral:tRNA from 1 species
GGAGAGUUGGCUCAGUGGUUAAGAGCACUGACUGCUCUUCCAAAGGCCCUGAGUUCAAAUCCCAGAUCUCUG